GAUGAAUGCUGGCGGCGUGUCUAAGGCAUGCAAGUUGAAUGCUUAGUUUACUAGGCAUGGCAAACGGGAGAGUAACACAUUGGGAAUCUACCCUGAAGACGAGGAUAACCUCGCGAAAGCGAGAGUAAUACUCGAUGGUAUUAAAAACAUAAGUUUUUUAAUAAAGCUCCGACGCUUCAGGAGGACCCUAUGUCCUAUCAGCUAGUUGGUGAGGUAAUGGCCCACAAGGCAAUGACGGGUACCGGGUGUGAGAGCAUGGCCCGGCUCACUGGGACUGAGACACUGCCCAGACUCCUACGGGUGGCUG
rnacentral:rRNA from 1 species